rnacentral:rRNA from 1 species
AUUGAACGCUGGCGGCAUGCCUAACACAUGCAAGUCGAACGAGUGGCGGACGGGUGAGUAAUGUCUGGGAAACUGCCUGAUGGAGGGGGAUAACUACUGGAAACGGUAGCUAAUACCGCAUACCAUCAGAUGUGCCCAGAUGGGAUUAGCUAGUUGGUGGGGUAACGGGUCACCAAGGCGACGAGCCCUAGCUGGUCUGAGAGGAUGACCAGCAACACGGGAACGGGGACACGGUCCAGACUCCUACGGGAGGCAGAAGUGGGGAAUAUUGGACAAUGGGCGCAAGCCUAAUGCGGCCAUGCGGCGUGUAUGAGGAGGGCCUUCGGGUUGUAAAGGACUUUAAGCGGGGAGGCGUUACCCGCAGAAGAAGCACCGGCUAACUCCGUGCCAGCAGCCGCGGUAAUAC